AUUGAACGCUGGCGGCAGGCCUAACACAUGCAAGUCGAACGGCAGCACAGAAGUGCUUGCUCUUUGGGUGGCGAGUGGCGGACGGGUGAGUAAUGUCUGGGAAACUGCCCGAUGGAGGGGGAUAACUACUGGAAACGGUAGCUAAUACCGCAUAACGUCGCGAGACCAAAGUGGGGGACCUUCGGGCCUCACACCAUCGGAUGUGCCCAGAUGGGAUUAGCUAGUAGGUGGGGUAAUGGCUCACCUAGGCGACGAUCCCUAGCUGGUCUGAGAGGAUGACCAGCCACACUGGAACUGAGACACGGUCCAGACUCCUACGGGAGGCAGCAGUGGGGAAUAUUGCACAAUGGGCGCAAGCCUGAUGCAGCCAUGCCGCGUGUAUGAAGAAGGCCUUCGGGUUGUAAAGUACUUUCAGCGGGGAGGAAGGCGGUGAGGUUAAUAACCUUGCCGAUUGACGUUACCCGCAGAAGAAGCACCGGCUAACUCCGUGCCAGCAGCCGCAGUAA
rnacentral:rRNA from 1 species